CCUCUUAAGUAUAAUGUUGCGUCACUGAUAAAGCCUAAACCUUCGAUAGAGGUCUCAGUCAGCUUUAGCGACCCAUCAAAUCUGAUGAUGCGUAAAUCGCACGCGCGGAGGGUCGACGCCAUAAGUGAGAAUUGGAGGCUUUCCCGCGAGAGAAGAUCAGUAUUAGUUGAUUUGCAAGGUCGGCGUGAUUGAGCUGACGGUGUCGUAUGAUACGGAUUAUUCUUCCCGCGUCACCGAGUUAAUUCAUGCUACCGAAGUGACGACAGAAUUUACGCACGAGAUAAUGCGCUGUUCCAGCUCCAUGGCAUUUGCUUCGAUUCCAAGUAACGUCAGAGCAAUAAAUGCUGAUAAAUGCAACAGUAAGUUAAUCGGAUGAUGAAUCGAUGAUAGAUCUCUUUGAUCUUUGAAAAUAAGAAGUAAAAGAAAGAGGAUUGGCAGAGCCAAUCACUCGAAUCAAGUUCAAAUGUCUUUUUUGUACAUUUGACAGUCUUUCUUAUUUGUGAGAGCAGAAUUAGGAUGAAAAGUAAAAUAAGAAAAGGAAAGGUGGAAGGAUAAGAAAAUGCGAUGCGCUGCAUUCCGAAAGAGACGAGUAAAAGAAGAAGAAUAAGAAGGAGAUAAAAUGAUCUAGAAGAAGUGGGAGAACAUGGACUACGUGCUGGCUCUCAGCAUCAACGAUACGCCGCAUUACAUACGCGCGACAACACACCAAUGUGGGGUAGGUAGUUAUCCAAUUGACGGUGCCCCGUCUGACAUAGUUCAGUCACGAGGCGGGCACAGGAUGAUCCUACGUCUCCUUCAACAGAGCGACAGUCGUUCCCUCGAAAUCGCGCUCGAGAGCCACGCUCGAGUUCCGCUCGCUCUUUUCCCAAAAUCUCUCGCGUCGACGUCACAUUUCUGAUGAAAUUUUCGUAUUACGGUAAAUAGAUAACAAAGUAUACAUAUACAUACGUAUGUAUAUAAAAGGGCCAGUUCAUGCCGACAGAUCGUGCAUAGUGAUACAGAGACAAUGUUAGUACAACUAGCGUGUUUGAAUCGAAGCGAUUGGUGUCUCAUUCACGAUAAGGAUCAGCUCGGUUGUCAAGGUUGACGAUUGUCAGUGAUAGCUGCCGAAGGACUCUCGCCGAAUACGUGAUUAAGGAUUUGCGACAAAAGAAAAAGGACUCGAAAAAGAAAGGAGAGACACGAGUCUAACGCGAAUAUUCCUUAGAGUAUCCGUGAAAACCGGAAUGCCAUCGGGCUGAUACCAUGGCAGCCGAUUUCUACGCGAAUGGAUCUCUAAAGUCAACGUCCGUCAGGGCCGUAGGCAGCAUGGGGCAGCGUAAAUCGGGCGCCUCGGGUGCCCUGGGCGCCGCGGUGCCUAUAUCGACGGAGGAGGAGCAGCUGAAGUUUCAAGACAGUAGAUUUCUGGCGACUUUGGUGCUCGGCAGAAGUAGGAGGAUCUCGCCGGACGUGCUGCCGUCGUGUUCGCCCGGCGUGUUUCGUCAAAAGUCGUUUCGCUCAUCCACGCUGUCGCCGUUGACGACGAGGACGACGACAACGACGACAACGACAACGACAACAACGACGACGACGACGACGACGACGAGGAGAGUGCAGACAGCGACAACAGUAACGUCGGUGUCAUCGGCAGCCACGCGGAACGAUCGCUACGCCUCUCGCACAGCCAUCCCCGCCACCCCCGCCGCCACCCCCGCCGCCACUACCACCACCACCACCACCACCACCACUACUACUACUACCAUCCCCGCCGCCGUCGUCGCCGUUGCCGCUCCACCACGUGACGGCGGCAGCUCGCGGAGUACCAGCGCCGGCAGCACCGCCUCGUUGUCGCGGGGCGCCCGAGCGACCGGCAAGCACGCGCGCCUCGGUACGACACUGGCCAGCAAAAUGGCGUCCGCGAGCUCCUCCACGGUUGUGCAGGGCUGGCCGAAUACCAAAGACGACUACGAGCUCAAGGAGGUCAUCGGGGUUGGAGCGACUGCUGUGGUGCAUGCAGCGUUUUGCAUUCCGCGACAGGAAAAGUGCGCGAUCAAACGAAUAAAUUUGGAAAAAUGGAACACGAACAUGGACGAGCUGUUGAAAGAGAUACAGGCGAUGUCCUCUUGCAAUCACGAAAACGUUGUAACGUAUUACACGUCGUUUGUGGUAAAAGAAGAGCUCUGGCUGGUUCUAAGAUUACUUGAGGGUGGAUCCCUACUGGACAUAAUCAAGCAUAAAACUAGGACCACCAAUUGCAAGCAUGGAGUAUUUGAUGAGGCCACCAUAGCCACAGUGCUUCGAGAAGUACUCAAGGGACUUGAAUAUUUCCACAGUAACGGACAAAUUCACAGGGACAUAAAAGCGGGUAAUAUCCUACUAGGCGAGGAUGGCACAGUGCAGAUUGCCGAUUUCGGUGUCAGUGCGUGGCUGGCGACCGGACGCGACCUGAGUCGGCAAAAGGUGCGGCACACCUUCGUCGGUACGCCGUGUUGGAUGGCGCCCGAGGUCAUGGAGCAGGUGAGAGAGGACCAUGGCUACGAUUUUAAAGCUGAUAUUUGGUCACUUGGCAUCACGGCGAUCGAGAUGGCCAGCGGCACAGCGCCAUACCAUAAAUAUCCCCCGAUGAAGGUCUUGAUGCUAACACUACAAAACGAUCCACCGACUCUGGAUACCGCUGCAGAUGACAAGGACCAAUAUAAAGCGUAUGGGAAAACAUUCCGAAAAAUGAUCGUCGACUGUUUACAAAAAGAUCCUACCAAGAGACCAACGGCCACCGAAUUGCUAAAACAUCCUUUUUUUAAAAAAGCCAAAGAUAAGAAAUAUCUGCAACAGACGUUAGUAGCGAUUGGACCUAGUUUAGAAACACGUGUACAGAAGGCAUCAAAAAGACAACCUGGCACGUCAGGCCGUUUGCACCGAACGGUGACCGGAGAGUGGGUCUGGUCGGAAGAAGAAAAUAAUGGUGACUCAAGCAGCGAUGAAGGCAAGGAAACGUUACCGGUCAAUACAAUCGAAAAGGCUAGCAGUGACGAAGAAGCUGGAGAGGGCGACGAGUGUUACGGUCAAAUCAGGGUAGCACCGAGUCAAACCGCGAUACCAACAACUGGACAAAAUGAACCCAUAAACUUAGUGCUUAGAUUACGAAAUGAAAAACGGGAACUUAAUGAUAUUAGGUUCGAUUAUACCGUUGGCGUUGAUACCGCGCAAGGAAUCGCAGCGGAAUUAGUCGCCGCGAACUUGGUCGACGGCAAAGAUGUCAUGGUAAUAGAAACAAACCUAAAAAAAUUAAUAGAGAGUGGAGGACAAUUACGAACAGUGACGUUUUCCUUGAACUCUGGAUACGCGACGAAUGAAAUACCAGAUGACAAGGCAUUAAUAGGAUUUGCUCAGAUCUCCAUCACUGAUUAAACAACCUCAAUUGUGUUUUAAACUUUCGAUAAUGUUCUUAAUUGAUACAUUCGCCAAGAUCCAGAAAGUAUCAAAAGUUAACAAAUCAGUCAAAUCCUACUUCUCAAAAUAAACUAGAGGUAAAAAAAAGAAGGCUUGUGAUACACACAACAUACAGUCUAACAGUUGAUUGCAAGGCGUAGGUAUUCGAAAAACAUAUUUGUUACAAAACAUCGGUAGUAACAAACUGCUCAAAUGUAUGUUUGAUAACAUCAUCAACGUUCAUAAGGACAAUCGAACGGGGCGGAUACAUAAAAACAUUAUCAUCCAUGUACUGGCUUAAGGGGUAUACACUUACUCUAAUCAAUAAUGGCUGUAGCUUUACAUAAUCGAAUUGUAUCGUUCGUUUCACAUUAUGUAAAUAUUAGUAUUUGACUGUUAUUUUCCUUCUUUUUCUUCGUGAUUGAUAUAUCAAAUUGGAUAAAGAUAUCUCGCGCAAUGCGAUAUUUUACAUAAAUAAGAGCAAAUUAAAAGGAACGAAA
rnacentral:misc_RNA from 1 species